GUUACAUUCCCCAGCUCUUUUUGAUCAAUUUUCUUUUACUACCAUCAAUUUUGAGAUAAUGGUCACCUGGAACUCUCACUUUUUUGCGAGUUUCACACUUCAACUAUUAGUUGUUCCCUGAACUAUCACCAUCUAUGUUUAAAACACAUCUAGUUGAGUAGGUGAUGAUAGGUUUGGUAGGAAAUAUUGAGCUGGGGUAUGAAACUCGAAAAAAAAUGAUAGUUUAGGUGUGUUUUUGAUAACUAACUCAUGAAUUUUUCUUUACAUGUCUAAAUCAGCUAUGAAUUGAAAUUGUCUAAUCAACAAUUUGCCCAUGUGAAUUCGUGUGUUUUGCUGGUUUACCCGUGCAUGAAGUUUACCGCACUAAUUAGGAUAAAGGGGAGAAUGGGCAUUUAUUGUUAAUUGUACACAUCUUCCCUCUGCAUUUCCACAAAGAAUGUUGUUUUUAUGCUUUGUGACCAUACUAAUAGGUAAUAACCAUGCACAGUUCAACGAUUUAGGGGUUUAGAAUGUGGUUCAGUGGUAAAACCAAGAGGAGGAAGGGGCUUUCGUUGUGGUCUCUCCCACUGGCUAAUUGCAGAGGCGGAGCCAGUAAUUCAACUUUAUGGGUUCUUGAUUUUAAAAUGAAGACUUCAAUUGAUAAUAACUGCGUUCUAAACUUGAUAUUUGUAUAUAUUUAAUGAAUUUCUUAACACAAAUACAUUGUUUAAGAAAAAGCUACUGCAUCAGGUCGAACCCGUAUCUGGGCUUCUAGCUCCGCCACUGGCUAGUUAUGAUGCUGAUCCGGGGACCUAUCUAAUGUAGAUGUCCUUGACAUAGGGAAUUGGUUGAUCUUGUAAAGUGGAGUUUGAUCAGGACCGUAAUAAUGGAUGCGAAGUAUGUAACUGUAGAGUGGCUUAUUUAGUCCUCCUCUCCUCUUGAAUUUACUCAAUUGCACUGCUGAUUCCCUGUAUCUUGAACUAUGCUUCAAGUAACCUCACAAAUUCUUUGCUUUCCAUUCAACUACUCCAGCAAAAAGAGAAAAGUGAAGCUUCUUUAGUGGCUCGAAUGUGCUACAAAUUGAGCUCACGCAACUCUAAAAGCCCAAGGACCAGAGGGGUGACUGCUGAAACUUACUAUGAAAUGACAAUUUAGGGUCACUUUAAUGGAGAACUUCCUUGAAGCCUUUAUAAACUAGCUAACUCAUUAGGAGGAAAGAGUUACUAAAAUGUAGAUGUUGCAAACUUGGUAAACCAACGAAGGAGAAUGAAAAAGCACUGCUGCUCAAGUAUAUUGACCUGUGUCGCAUCUGUUGAUCACACAGGUUUAUUCAUUCAAAAUGUGAUCAACUUCUGACUAGUGCAUCUUGCUGUGUGCCGAUUGUUGAUUCAGAUAAAGACGAUUUCUGUCAAAAUGUCCUGCAUGCUGAGGAAAGUAUUAGGGAUCCAUGCAUGUUGACAGAAAGAAUUUAAGAGUUCUUUCUUCACUAGAAAGAUUAUUGUGCAAAAAAUGAAGUAGUUGGGAGAAACGUCCAGAUCCCAUGUAUCAUUCCCUUUUCUUUUUGAUUAGUCUAGAAAUCUAAUCUGUUUACAGUGCAAGAACAUCUACCAGAUAGCCGUGAAUUUCAAAAAAAAUUCUUUGUUUGUCUCUCCCCUCCUUCAGUAAGCACUAGUGAUCAUUUUCACGACCCAUUUGGAAAAUGUAUGGAAUCACUGAAGCAGAACGCUAGUUUAUGAAAUUCAUUUGUUCAUGGAGAGAAAUAUUUUCUGUUUCUCUAACAUGCAAUUUUUAAUAGAAAGAUAGAUACUGUUCCGUUUGUUCUUGAUUUGCGCUAGACCAUGUAUAGAUACUGUUGAUGCUUAUGUUAAGAUCUGGUACUUCUGCUGUCAUAGAUUUUGACCCUAUUGGAGAAAACAGAUACUGAAAAAAAUAAAAGUUACAAAAACAUGUAUGGAGUUUGGUAAAUUUGUGCAAAACUGUAUUGUACUUGUAUUUGUUUACACAAUAAUCUGAGGUUUGGGAUGCCAAAUAUUGCCCAUUUAGGAUAAGGAAAAAAUAGAUCUGGAAGGAAAACAAGAAAAAUAGGUCAAUUAAUUGAUUGUUAUUUUCAAAAGGUAGUUGGGUACACCAAUAAGAAAAAAAGGUUGUUGGAUACUUCUUAUCUGAACAGCUAAAAACUUUCUUAUCCGGGUCUAUACACCAUCAGAUUCCCAAAAUGUAGCAAACCUUCAGAAAUGCAAACACAGUUGCCAACUCAGGAUUCUACUUUAGAAUUCAGUAUCUCAACCUCAUGAUUCAGGAGUAGGAGAACUGCUUAAUACAUUCUGAACAAGCUUUUAGAUAAUAGUAUAAUCAACUUUCACAUGAACCAGUAAGGCUGUGAGCUAGUUUCCAAAUUUUAAAGCUCAUGCAAGAGACCAAAACCUUUGGAUGUCAGCAAAACAACCAAUCAAAUCUUCAAAUUCCAUGACAAGUGGAUCAUUGCAAAUGUAGAAACAUAGCAGAUAAUUAGUUAAUAAUAAGCUUGAGAAAAAAAAGUACUUUUGUCACUUAACAUGUUUCAAUUUGCCAUCUGAGAAUGACUCUUGAGAGAAGAAAGUAUCCAUCACCUGAAUAAGAGGUUGGAGAUAGAGAGGAUGAAACUUUAGAAUAAUAGACCACAAUGCAAUGAAAAAUUGUUUCCAGACUGCAGUAAGUCCCAUUUUUACCAGGGCGGGAAAAUUCCAAAAAGUUGGG